rnacentral:rRNA from 1 species
GAUGAACGCUGGCGGCGUGCCUAAUACAUGCAAGUCGAGCGAACGGACGAGAAGCUUGCUUUUCUGAUGUUAGCGGCGGACGGGUGAGUAACACGUGGAUAACCUACCUAUAAGACUGGGAUAACUUCGGGAAACCGGAGCUAAUACCGGAUAAUAUUUUGAACCGCAUGGUUCAAAAGUGAAAGACGGUCUUGCUGUCACUUAUAGAUGGAUCCGCGCUGCAUUAGCUAGUUGGUAGGGUAACGGCUUACCAAGGCAACGAUGCAUAGCCGACCUGAGAGGGUGGUCGGCCACACUGGAACUGAGACUCGGUCCAGACUCCUGCGCGAGGCAGCAGUAGAGAAUCUUCCGCGAUGGGCGAGAGCCUGACGGAGCACCGCCGCGUGAGGGAUGAAGGUCUUCGGACCGGAAAACUAUGUUAUUAGGAAAGAACAUAUGUGUAAGUAACUGUGCACAUCAUGACGGUACCUAAUCAGAAAGCCACGGCUAACUACGUG